rnacentral:rRNA from 1 species
CACACUGCCGAGAAAAGCCUCUAGAUAGAAAAUAGGUGCCCGUACCGCAAACCGACACAGGUAGUCAAGAUGAGAAUUCUAAGGUGAGCGAGCGAACUCUCGUUAAGGAACUCGGCAAAAUGACCCCGUAACUUCGGGAGAAGGGGUGCUCUUUAGGGUUAACGCCCAGAAGAGCCGCAGUGAAUAGGCCCAAGCGACUGUUUAUCAAAAACACAGGUCUCUGCUAAACCGUAAGGUGAUGUAUAGGGGCUGACGCCUGCCCGGUGCUGGAAGGUUAAGAGGAGUGGUUAGCUUCUGCGAAGCUACGAAUCGAAGCCCCAGUAAACGGCGGCCGUAACUAUAACGGUCCUAAGGUAGCGAAAUUCCUUGUCGGGUAAGUUCCGACCCGCACGAAAGGCGUAACGAUUUGGGCACUGUCUCAACG